ACCUAGAUGAACAGGAACACCCAGUUAAUGCCGGCAGCGAGCUGGAAGCUAGGAGUUGGUGUCAGGGAGUGGAAAGAGCAACCGAGGUAUAGGACUAGCUUCUUUAUAAUCCGUAUGCUUAACCCAGGAGAUUUAUUUUUAAGGAGACAUGUCAGAAACCAGUGAUAGAGAAGGAAAGAGGGACUUGUACAAGGAGUUUGGGAUAAUCAUUUCUCCACCACACUGAGCUCUGAGUUUCCCAGUAUCCAGGGCAAAAAGGGAAAAUGUGUGAUCAACCACAUCUGACAAAGGAUUAUACAAAAUCAUCAGUAAGGCAGACUUUCCCCCCCUCCCCCGAAUCAAUUGUGAGCUGUGAAAGGAAGUAUUACAAUGGAAAGAGCAUGGACCCUGGUAACAUUAAUCUCUAGCUGUGCCACGUGCUAACUGUGGCUCAGCAUAAGCGUCUUAACUUCUCUGAACUGCAAUGUCCUGAUCAGUAAAACAUACAUUAGUAAGACCUGUAUGAAAACACCUGCCUUGCAGUGGGUUUGUGACUGUUCGAGUCCCCCGCCUAAGGAGCAGACGGACACAGCACAGCCAGUGCUGCAGAGAGGACAGAGUGGGGAUCCCCAGUGGCUAUCAGAAUGGGGAGGGAAGGAAGGAGCAAGAGGUUGCCAUCUACCAGGCUGGUACACUGCUAACCACAAAUUUUUUUUAUCAUUUAUAUAGGAAGAACUGCAGGUACCAUCUUGGGUUUGGAAGCCUUAGUGACCUAAGAAAACCUGCUGUGGUUUGGGGUGGGCUGAAUGGACACCCUUGUUGCUGGACUGAGGCUUGCACCGGAGUCAGAAAGAUUGGAGCCUCCCACGUGGCUGUUCAGAGAGCCCCAGCCUGGGUAUCAGGAGACCUGGCUGUAGUCCACAGCAUUGCUAACUAACUGGAAGCGCUUGGGCAAGUUCUGGUCCAUCCCUGGGCCUCAGUUUCCCUUGGAUGAAGUGGGGCUAAGUGUCCUGCGGGUCCAGCCUACCUCUCAAGAGGGCCGUCGGGAGUUGGGUGUGUGCGUUUGACUAAAAGACCUGCGUUGGCUUCCUGAAUCUUCAAUUCUAUGGCAUUCUUCCUGGAGGAAGAAAACUGUGUACAUGAUUUAUUCAUAGACCGAAGAGUUUGCAAGCUGUCAAUUCUCUCCAGCUCAGGUGAAUCUGAAAUGCUAUUUCUAACCCAAGUGUAAGAGGAUGGAAAGUGGCAAGGUCUGUUUGUUUUUUCUCCGAAAGAAUCAGAUCACGAACUUGCGAAGGCAGGGAACCGCCCCGGGGGGGUGUGUACGCGCGCCCAGCCGCCGGCUGAAAUGCUCCGAGAAUUCCCUCAUGGGCGCCUCCCCGCAAUCUCCCCCAAGUCACCGCGCCCAGAGCAGGGGGAGCCCCCGCCCGGAUGUCUUCACCCAGCGCACCCCGACCCUCGUCCGCGCCACACCAGCGCGUAGUGACUGCUAGUCAAGCUGGACUGACUCCCAGCCGGAGGAACAAAUAAAAAACCCCAAAGCCCCGG